rnacentral:rRNA from 1 species
UGAUCGGCCACAUUGGGACUGAGACACGGCCCAAACUCCUACGGGAGGCAGCAGUAGGGAAUCUUCGGCAAUGGACGGAAGUCUGACCGAGCAACGCCGCGUGAGUGAAGAAGGUUUUCGGAUCGUAAAACUCUGUUGUUAGAGAAGAACAAGGAUGAGAGUAGAACGUUCAUCCCUUGACGGUAUCUAACCAGAAAGCCACGGCUAACUACGUGCCAGCAGCCGCGGUAAUACGUAGGUGGCA